UGAGGCUCGCACAGCCAUGAGAGGCAGAAGACUGGUGUCUGGCCUAAAGGCUCUUGCGAUCCACUUGUGAAGACCUCGCUGAGAAACAUUUUUUUUUCACAUCUUGGUACUGAAAAUAGUAACAGCCCAACUCACCACUGGCAGGCGACCGCUAUCUGGAAUGAUGAAGGUACCAGAUCAGCUGAGGGGCAGACUGACGUCACCAUUCUGCUACAGAGAGAUCAAAGCCUCCAGAGAUUCAUGCAGAAGUCAUGUGUGUCCACGGAGAGAGAGAAGGAGCAAUGAGCAGAGGACACUCCCCUGUCGUCUGUCUAAUGACCAAGCCGAACUAACAUAGAAGCGUAUGGAGCAGAGGUUUUUGACCCUAUGGUGAACCUUCCAGACAACUAAUGAAUAACAAUGAAUACUGUCUUCUCAGCGCUCCAGCACUCAUCUAAGAUUUAAAGUAAACCACUUUCCUCAGUCUGGGUGUCUAUCAACCUGCAAUCAUGUAUGGAUGGGGAAAAGUUUGUGAAACAUUUCAUUUCUCACACAAAUGAUUAAUCACUUUUAGAGCAGGAUGAACAACAUACAAAGCAGGGUUGGAGCUGUCUAUUGCACACAACUACAUCUCAGUUUCUGACCUGGAUGAAAUCCUGCAUAAACACAAGAAGUCUGUUUCAUAUAUUCCAUAUUCAGGUUUAACAGGUUUGCAUCUAAGUUUACGUCUUCCUAAUUUGCCAACUGAAUGAAAAUGCUCAAAAUCAGAAAGCCAUGCUAAAGGAAACACCAGACUUUUAAGCAAAAAUGGGUAUUAAAAUACAACUUGGAGUAAUACAUCUAUUCUACAAGCGACAAAUUCUGAGAGGAACUGGAGGGCGAGAGAGACAAUGCCAUGCAGUGGAGGCUGGAUUAUUUCAAAUUUCUAGGCAGGGAAGCUGUCUUCAGACGGACAGCUCUCCAUCCACAAAUUGUCCAAAGAGCCGGUCUUUCGACAGGCGGUCAAGUUGUAGGUGAUGCAAUGAACUGGGUUAUAGAAGAGCCUCUUUUUCGAAUGAUACAAAAUCGGUUUUCAUACCUCUCUUUUCCUCCUGAAAACCUUUUACUCUCGACCUGAACUCACUCUCUCCUUCAGGAAUUCCUGGUGUGUUUCUUUGAGAUGUCCUCCACGUCAGCAGCAGCGCCUACAGAGAACCAGAACUCAGAGGCUCCCUGUCAAAGAGCGCUCCUUGUGGGUGCCCUAAAUGAGUGCAACCAUGUGUCACACCAAAGUACACGGAAUAGACAAAGGGUGAGUUAAACCUCUGAGUAGCUUACUUUAGUGUUGGUAGUUUAGCACAUGCUCUCACUCAAUCUACCUUACCAACCUCACAGACUCUAAAUGCUAUUUAGGCUUAAAGAUAUACAAAACAAGAUUUUUUAAAAACAGACAAACCAUCAACGGAAAUAUAUUUGCAUUUUGUUACGCCUCUCAUCACCCGGCAAGUCAUCUUCAGAAAGCCUGAAAAGGUGAAAAUUUAAAUAGCUAAAAAACAUCAGCAGAACCCGGAAAUUAUUAAGCUACAUCUUACAUGAUUUUUCUGUAUUCAUCAUCAGUGUUUCACUAAGAACCAGAUUCGGUCAGGUAGUAGGGGCCACAUUUUUCAUAGAAUAUUCCCUUCAUUUUACGUAAAUGUAUAGUUCUAUAUCUAUGCCUGGCACGUUUUAAGUUAAAAUUUGAUCAUCGGUGUUUACUAGCAUCAGGACCAAGUGGUUUUUCAGUAUCAACUAUGGCAACCCCUCAAGGAGAAGAG